UAAAACGGCUUUAAUACAGCUGUAUAGACAAGCCAAUGACAGAGUCCAUUGAAAGUAAAACGAUCUAUAUUAUUGGCUUGCUUAUCGAGCUGUAUUAAAGCCUCUUUAUCAAGCUACGCUCCCUUCCUAUCGUAUUUUUCUUUCAGUUCAGUUAUAGUAACGGAAUCUAUCGAAUGUUAAAAAAAUGAAAUUUCUAUUUCUUUUUGGAUUUUCGCUGAUCAUUAACAUUUCAUACGCGUACCGCUAUUCUCCAGUACCAUGCGACACUCCUAAUUCAAGAUUCUUACAAUGCGCUACUCCGUGUACCAUCCCGUCAUGUCCAGAAGAUCAGAACAAAGAAAUAUGUAAAAAUAUACAUUACAGAUGUUCUAUUUUAGAAAGAUGUUACUGUAAUCAAGGCUAUAGAUCCACCGAGGAUGGAAAAUGUAUACCUUGUUAAAAAUCAAAGAUAUAAAUGUACUUGUAUAUUGUAACUUACACUUAUACUUUAUAUUAAAAUAUAUUAACCACUAGUAGUAAAGCUUAGCAUCAAAAUAAAGAAUACAGAGAAUAAAAUUGUCUAUUCCCAAUCGACUCCUAGGUUUGAUUUGGUUUAUUUGAUUACACCAAAACAACGCGUGGA